UGGAGAGGUGGCCGAGUGGUUUAAGGCGCAGACCUGGAAAGUCUGUUAUGCAGAAAUGUAUACGAGGGUUCGAAUCCCUCCCUCUCCGU
rnacentral:tRNA from 1 species